rnacentral:rRNA from 1 species
UGGGGAAUAUUGCACAAUGGGGGAAACCCUGAUGCAGCAACGCCGCGUGAAGGAAGAAGUAUUUCGGUAUGUAAACUUCUAUCGACAGGGAAGAAAGAAAUGACGGUACCUGAAUAAGAAGCACCGGCUAAAUACGUGCCAGCAGCCGCGGUAAUACGUAUGGUGCAAAGCGUUAUCCGGAUUUACUGGGUGUAAAGGGUGAGUAGGCGGUUAUGUAAGUCAUAUGUGAAAUUCUGGGGCUCAACCCCAGAGCUGCAUAAGAAACUAUGUAACUAGAGUGCAGGAGAGGUAAGCGGAAUUCCUAGUGUAGCGGUGAAAUGCGUAGAUAUUAGGAAGAACACCGGUGGCGA